rnacentral:rRNA from 1 species
UACGGAGGAUCCGAGCGUUAUCCGGAUUUAUUGGGUUUAAAGGGUGCGUAGGCUGUUUGGUAAGUUAGAGGUGAAAUCUCGACGCUCAACGUCGAAACUGCCUCUGAUACUGCCAGGCUAGAGUACAGUUGCUGUGGGCGGAAUGAGUAGUGUAGCGGUGAAAUGCUUAGAUAUUACUCGGAACACCGAUUGCGAAGGCAGCUCGCAAAGCUGUUACUGACGCUGAUGCACGAAAGCGUGGGGAGCAAACAGGAUUAGAUACCCUGGUAGUCCACGCCGUAAACGAUGAUAACUCGUUGCCGGCGAUAUAUUGUCGGUGACUUAGCGAAAGCGUUAAGUUAUCCACCUGGGGAGUACGUUCGCAAGAAUGAA